rnacentral:rRNA from 1 species
GUAGGUGGCAAGCGUUGUCCGGAAUUAUUGGGCGUAAAGCGCGCGCAGGCGGUCCUUUAAGUCUGAUGUGAAAGCCCACGGCUCAACCGUGGAGGGUCAUUGGAAACUGGAGAACUUGAGUACAGAAGAGGAAAGCGGAAUUCCACGUGUAGCGGUGAAAUGCGUAGAGAUGUGGAGGAACACCAGUGGCGAAGGCGGCUUUCUGGUCUGUAACUGACGCUGAGGCGCGAAAGCGUGGGGAGCAAACAGGAUUAGAUACCCUGGUAGUCCACGCCGUAAACGAUGAGUGCUAAGUGUUAGGGGGGUUUCCGCCCCCCUUAGUGCUGCAGCUAACGCAUUAAGCACUCCGCCUGGGAGUACGGCCGCAAGGCUG